rnacentral:rRNA from 1 species
UACGAAGGGGGCUAGCGUUGUCCGGAAUUACUGGGCGUAAAGAGCUCGUAGGUGGUUUGUCGCGUUGUUCGUGAAAACUCACAGCUCAACUGUGGGCGUGCGGGCGAUACGGGCAGACUGGAGUACUGCAGGGGAGACUGGAAUUCCUGGUGUAGCGGUGGAAUGCGCAGAUAUCAGGAGGAACACCGGUGGCGAAGGCGGGUCUCUGGGCCGCAACUGACGCUGAGGAGCGAAAGCAUGGGGAGCGAACAGG